rnacentral:misc_RNA from 1 species
AAGUCGUAACAAGGUAUCCGUAGGUGAACCUGCGGAUGGAUCAUUACAGAAGGAAUUACUUUCCUGACGUAUUGUGAACUGUAUUGAAGCACGGUCAGUGGGGGAUUAAUCCACCAUUGUGUGGUCCUGCUGGCCGUACCUACAAAGACGUACAAGACAUUCUAACUGAAGUUCCUUUAGUAUGAAAUAAUAACUAAAGACAACUUUUAGCAAUGGAUCUCUUGGCUCUU